rnacentral:lncRNA from 1 species
UGGUCUUUGGUGCGCCUGCGCAGGCCGCCUAGGCGGCUGGCUGAUCAGAGUGGCCCCGGAAACUUGGACAGUUUUGAGUCUACGCGCGAGUGAACUAGGUGCAGCGGUGACCCAGCUGAAGACGUUUGGAAACAUUCUGGCGCCGAGCGCUGGGCGCGGAGUAGGAUGUGUGGAUCUGGGCAGGCGAAGGCUGUGCUUUCCUAGAAUCUGGAUUGUAACGGGGAGGCAGGUUUCUGAGGAAUCGAGGUUCUUUGCCGGUAGAAAACGCUGCCCUUAUUGGAAGUUCCAGGCAGGCAAGAAGGAAUGCAGAGCAUUGUGUAUGCACGUGUAGACUCCACCCAGAGUAUUGUGGCUAUUGUACCGGUUCAUCUUGUUUCAUUCCAAAGCCCACAGUGGAAGGUUGCUAGGCGGGUACGUUAUUCCAGGUGCCACUCACUAGGUGUGCGACCACAGGAACGUGCACACCCUCUCUGCGUCUCAGUCUCUCACAUGCACAAUACAGAGCCUGUGCGAUGUGGUGGGCUAUCAUAUAAGGAAGGAGUGAAUUCCUACUGAGAACAGCAGUGCCUGCGCCACUCAGAGGACUCUAUUCACAUUACUGGAAGUGCUGCUGCAUCCUGAGGGCUUGCCAGGUUCUGUAUCAGAAUCAAGGGGCCAUGCCACUGGAAACCACAGGGCAGACUGGUUCAAGGUGCAUUGAGAAACACCAGGAUACACCAGCCUGAGCUGUGAGAGUCACAAGAACUUCUUGGGAAAGGUGCAGGUUUUGGAACAAGAGGAAAACGUGACAGUCACCGACUACAAUCAGGGCUCUUGGAACUGAUCUACUUCACAGGCCUUCCUGCCCAGGCCUGGCAACCGGCCUGGAUUGUGGGGACUCCUCGUUUCAAAACCACAAAGUUCAAGAAACCUCUGUGUCAUCUUUGAAAAGAAAAUGGAAAGCCAUCACCAGAGGAACGCACAGUGAGCGGCAGCUCAGCCUUUCCAUGUAACAAACAGGCCACUCUCUAGGAAACAGAUUGUCCAUCGUAGAGCCCCCAGAAAAUCAUCACCAGGAAGAGCUUUCUAAUAGCGCUUCCAGGAACGAGGAGGGUCAUCAGGUGUCGCUGGUUUCACUAAGUCUAGGAAACACAUUUUCUUAAAAUGGGAUGAGUCACCACUAACUCAUAAUGAAUCAAAACUAACAAAUAUUUGAGUACUCAGACACACAAAAACAGCUAUAAAUUUGUGUGCCAAUGAAGAAAAAGAAAAGAAUGGGGCUGGAAAGUUGGC